AAUGUUAUGCUGAAGGGACCCAUACGGCCAUACCAUAAGAGAGUCGACGUGAUCAUCGUAACCUGCGCUUCUCCUUCUCUGCCAUUAUCAGAGAUUGCCAUCGUGAAGAAUCUCCUCCUAGGGUUUUCACGACAUCGUUUGCUCUUCUCUUAAUCAACUGAAACACCCACAUUUACAGAUCCAUUGCGUUAAACGCCUCUUUGAUCCAUCAACCACGAUGGGUCUUUAAUGCGAGUCUCUCUUCUCCAGGGCGGUCUAUUUGUUAGUAUAAAUAGAGAACCCCCAAUUUGAAAAAAGUUUUCAGGCGAUGAGUGAUCUUCGGCCAUAAUAAAGAUCGUUUCUCCAUAAAAUCUUAGACUACGAAGACGAGUUCUUUGCUGCUCUGAUGCUUAUCCUCGAAGGACAUAGCUUAAGAACCACAAGUUAGAUUUUGGGAUCAAUGUGUUUGGAUUGGAGUAGUGUCACUGUGUGUUAAAGUUUAGUUUUUUUAAUGAAUUGUUUGCAGAUGCUUUGUUUGUUGAAUCAUUGUAUGGUUUGAGGAGAAAGUCAGUUAGGUUGAGAUUAAGCAAAGGUUCCAGUACAGAAGUUCAACGUUCUGGUUUAGAGAAACGCCGGAGAGUCCUCUCUGUUGUGUUUCUGGUUGUGUUACCGUAUUUUAAGUUAAAGUUGCAUGGUAUAUAUAACAAGGAAGGGGAAGUGAGGCUCUGGGAGAGUUUAUGGAGAUCAGAGGAUCAAGGGUUUGAUGAAGCUAAUUUCUUUACAGGAGAGGAAACAAUUGUUUCAAGAAGGGAUAAUGGGAAUCAUGAGCUUUCUGUUUGAGUACAGUUAGCUACGAGAAUUAAGAAGUUUGUAGCUGUGUGCUAUCCUUGGAUAGAUGUAUCAAGUGAAGGUAGUUUCUGAUUUAUGUAGAGCACGAAUGUUUUGUAUAAUAGCUGAUAUGAUUCUUUCUAAUAGUUAGGUUGAGCUUCAUGUCUAGAGUUGGUAAUCUUGAUGUUCUAAACUGAAACCACAUUCCGUGCUGUUAGUUCAUUUCUGGAUGGUUCUGAGUAAUAUACUCUAAGCAUGUGUUUGAGUUA